rnacentral:miRNA from 1 species
CUAGAGGUUAAACGUUCGU